UACUUUAAUACAUAGGGAUGUGAGCUCAUUUCAACUCCUGAUCAAGACCACACUGACUUUACUAAGUGCCUUAAAAUGCUCCAAAAGAAGAUAGAAGAAAAAGACUUAAAGAAGAAACAGUGAAAGGAAUACUGUUCAAUUCCAACAUCAGCUGUGUAACCGAGGCAUCGUAAUACUUUUAUGACAAGUUUCACUACCUUUUUGCCUGUGCCAGUGUACCUCAAAGGGAUAUGGUUGAUGUGAUCGUGACACUGGGAGGCCUUGCUGGGCGUUUUGACCAGAUUAUGGCAUCUGUGAAUACCUUGUUCCAAGCGACUCACAUCACUCCUUUUCCAAUUAUAAUAAUCCAAGAGGAAUCGCUGAUCUACCUGCUCCAACCAGGAAAGCACAGGUUGCAUGUAGACACUGGAAUGGAGGGUGAUUGGUGUGGCCUUAUUCCUGUUGGACAGCCUUGUAUGCAGGUUACAACCACAGGCCUCAAGUGGAACCUCAGAACUUGUGACUACACUAGGACCACCUGGAUAGCCAAGGAUAAUCCCGUCCCAAGACUAAUCAGAUUAAUCAGACUUAAUCACAUCUGUAAAGUUCCUCUUGCCAUCAAAUGAUGUGCUUGCUUUUGGAACAUUGGUCAGUACUUCCAAUACCUACGACGGGUCUGGUGUUGUGACUGUGGAAACUGACCACCCACUCCUCUGGACCAUGGCCAUCAAAAGCUAACCUGUUGACUGGCAUCCAUAAGUGUGCCUCUGCCUUAUCUCAUUUCUCAACAGUUCAUUGCUCAACAAGAACGAUUCACCUGGGUUUGCAAGAAUCUAAACCUCUCUAGGGGAAGCCCACUGGGUUUAAAGAUGUUAGUGUUUAGAUAAUACAGGUAACAUUAUAAAUGACAGAUCUCAAUUUUAUAGUAGUGGGAAAGAUACAUGCUAAGAAAGCAAAUAAGCUCUAUUAUAUUCGGUUGGAACCUAAUGGGAAUCAUUCCACUAUACAAUUCAGUACUGAUUAUUCUUCUUACAUUAUUAAUCAUUCCAUUUAUCCUAGAAAAUUGUUUUUAAUUUGAAUCAGAGAAAACUGUUGAGGUUCCUCUUGGAGUCUAGAACAUCCUUAAAUGUCUAACAACAAGGGCUACCUCUGAGUACCUUUUAGUAUUAGUUUUCUGUAUAUGAUAUAUAUUAUCUUAUACUGAAAAAAAAUUCCUUUCAGAUUGGGGUGUUAGAAGUGCACCAGGUCACUCUGACCUUAUUACUGUCUUUGGUAUUGUCUUAAAUAAAUCAAGAAUCAUUGACCUAAUUGUUAAAUUUAAAAAUAGGUAGUUAGCAAUAGGUGGAAAGAGAAAUGAUGUGAAAGAUAAAUGAUGAUUCGUGGAGCCCUACUCACACAUUAACCCCCAAAUUCAAAAGUAAGAAUGCAAAAGUCUAGAGGGGGUAACAGUCUGCAUCAUCAUCACAACCUAAAUGGAGAAAGCUGUGCAGAGGAAACUUAAGCAUAAAAAUUGAAUUCGUUUCUGACAUACCUUAGACUGAAAAACUGUUGGUUCAUCCAGAAGUGUAUUCAUAUUACCAGAAAAUGAGUUUGUCUAUGGGGAUACAUGAACUUCAUAUACUAAGGAGCCUAACUCCAAAGCCUGCGUUCUCAUCCCAGUCUGAUAUUCACCUAAGUUUCCGGACCCUUUUCCUUAGCUGUAAAAUGGAAGCGGUUGGACUGAUGGUGUCUGAGGUUCUUUCCCACACUGAAAUUCUAAAUAUUGACACUUAGCAGUCAUAGGGCUGAUAAUACACACAGUUACUGACUUAGCCUAAACAACCUGGUGCAUCGAAAUGUAUUCACCUUUCUUUUGUAAAGAGACCAUCUUCUAUCUUCUUUCCACCUUUCUCUGUUUUAUGAAACCAACUGUUGACAUACAAACCAUGAUUGAAGGAGAACCUGUCCAACAUGUUUUAUGUACACAAAUCCCUAUGUUGCUAUAAGAAAAGUGAAAGUAACUGUUUUCUUCUUGGUGCUAUGACAGUGUGAGACUCAGGUUGUCUGUAGAGAAUGAAAGGAGCAGUGGCCCGCGUGAUUGUGGCAUUUAAGGAGCAGUGGCCCAUGUGACUGUGGCAUUUUCGGCACUUUUCAUUACUUUCUGCUUGACCGGAAGUUGAGGCUUAGCUAUGUUUCCAUCUUCAGUUUCUGAAGACUAGUUAUAUAUUCCUUACUAGAAAUAUAUUCAUAAUAUAUAAAAGAAAUAUAUCUGUGAUUUUAAAAUUUUGCUACCAAAGAAUGCAUGUUCUGUGUGCCCUGAAAAUGUUACCAGUGUUAAUAAAUGGAUACUUAUCAAAAAAGAA